UCUUCAAGGGAAACUAAAGCAAUACAAAGGAAUUCUAAGUAUCAACGGCAUCUAUUUCAGAGUCCUCAAAUUCCAAAAGGUAACACCAGGAGCCCAGGAGUCAGGAGUCGGACAACCUCGGAUGAGACUGUGUUGAAGAAUAGUGUUGUGAUGAUGUGUAAUACAGAGAGAGCUCUGUGAUUUGGCGACAAGAGGCUUUUAUGAAUGAAGGUGGUUGAAGCCACGCCCCUUUUUGGAGGAAGACUGAUGAGAAGUCAAAGACGGAGCGUACUGAGACGGGCAUGGCUUGUAGUAGGAGAGUGCUGUUAGAGGCUGACCUUGGGGCAGACUGCCUGUAAAUGGACAAUGGUCAGAUUCUAAGGCCAACGUAGGACCUUCAUCGUUAGUAGUGAUGCAUGCGUCUUCCGGAAGUACCCCGUGUCACAUCACUCUUCAGUACAGGACGAUUCAUACCACAACCCGACAAUAGAAUUACCUCGGGGGGACGAGAUCUAUUAAUGGGUUCUGCUGACAUCCUCUAUGGACCUACAGUGGACCUUGCUUAAGGGACGAGGUAUAAUUAUGAUUAAAAAUAAGGAAGAUAUAGAGCAACCAUAGCUUCAACAGGAAGCUCUUGAUUGUAUGGUGCACAUAAUUUGCUUUCUUGUAAAAUUAAGUUUUAAUCUUGCACUGAUUUCAGAUGUCUUGGUUAACAUUCAUUAAAAUUCAAAAAUUGUGUAAUCUCUCUUUUCUAAUUUAAAUAAAAACCAGAACUGAAAUUUUUAAGAUUGUCUAGUUGUUCAGUUGUAAUUGCGUUUUGUCUUUUAUCUUGCCAUCAUAAAUUUGUAACUGGUUAUCAUUAUAUAGUAAUAUUGUUGGUCUCAAUAUCUACCAUGCAGCUGGAACAUUAGAGCGUUCUUAAACAUACGAUGUAUUUGUAGGAUGGUGUAAAAUAGGCUCGACACAUUUCAGUCAAGUUCUCGUGGAGGAUAUUUUAAAUAUGGAAGCAUACUUCGGUUUUUCACGCUGUAUGAAGUUUGAUGUCCAGAUCCUCCACAUAAAAGGCAUGAAGGCAAAAUAUAUUUGAUUCAGGUAAUUUACA